GAGGUUGUGGCUCAGUGGUAGAGCGCUAGCCUGGUAUGCGUGAGGCACUGGGUUCAAUCCUCAGCACCACA
rnacentral:tRNA from 1 species